ACUGAGACUUAGAGUCACAUCUAGGCAUUGCUUGUUGUCAUGGUGUGCUGAAGUACUCGAAGAGUAACAGCUAACUCUCUUCAAUGGAUCUCGUGAUCCAUUCAGGUUAGGAAUAUUU